rnacentral:lncRNA from 1 species
UUUGGGGUGAUCUGUAAAUUGACGACGCAAGGCGGUUUCAUAUUCAUGAUGAUUUUAGUAACCAGUUCAAUGGUAUGGGUGGUGCGGAACAGGAAAUCACCCUUGCUCAACGAUUUUUGCUCGAUAUUCUACACAAAAGAAAAACCAAAGCAAUACGGUUAGUAUUGAAACUACUAUGUAGCAGUGUAGUUCGUCUGAUGGAUCUGAGUAUGGAAGGGGUAAAUAAUAAUUACGGUAUUACUCAUGCUUUAAAACCAGCACGCACUUGUGAUGUCGUGUUCACCACACUUCCCCUUCAAGCCGAGAGACCUUGCAUGGUCGGACCUCUACUCAAGGUCUUAAAUAAUUG